GACGUAGGGCGCGAGCGUUGUCCGGAUUUAUUGGGCGUAAAGAGCUCGUAGGCGGCUUGUCGCGUCGAAUGUGAAAACUCGGGGCUCAACUCCGAGCUUGCAUUCGAUACGGGCAGGCUAGAGUUCGGUAGGGGAGACUGGAAUUCCUGGUGUAGCGGUGAAAUGCGCAGAUAUCAGGAGGAACACCGGUGGCGAAGGCGGGUCUCUGGGCCGAUACUGACGCUGAGGAGCGAAAGCUAGGGGAGCGAACGGG
rnacentral:rRNA from 1 species